rnacentral:rRNA from 1 species
CCUACGUGUGGCAGCAGUGGGGGAUAUUGCACAAUGGGGGGAACCCUGAUGCAGCGACGCCGCGUGGGUGAAGGAGCGUUUCGGCGCGUAAAGCCCUAUCGGCAGGGGAGCAGGAGGCCGGUACCUGACUAAGAAGCCCCGGCUAACUACGUGCCAGCAGCCGCGGUAAUCCGUAGGGGGCAAGCGUUAUCCGGUUUUACUGGGUGUACAGGGGGCGCAGACGGCAGCGCAAGCCGGGAGUGAAAGCCUGGGGCCCAACCCCGGGACUGCUCUUGGAACUGCGCGGCUGGAGUGCAGGAGGAGCAGGCGGAAUGCCUGGUGGAGCGGUGAAAUGCGUAGAUAUCAGGAGGAACACCGGUGGCGAAGGCGGCCUGCUGGACUGCGACUGACGUUGAGGCCCGAAAGCGUGGGGAGCAAACAGGAUUAGAUACCCCAGUAGUC